rnacentral:rRNA from 1 species
UGAGGAAUAUUGGGCAAUGGGCGAAAGCCUGACCCAGCAACGCCGCGUGGAGGAUGAAGGCUUUAGGGUUGUAAACUCCUUUUGUGGGGGAAAAGAAUGGAUGGUACCCCAAGAAUAAGUCACGGCUAACUACGUGCCAGCAGCCGCGGUAAUACGUAGGUGACAAGCGUUAUCCGGAAUUACUGGGCGUAAAGCGCACGCAGGCGGUCAGAUAAGUCUGAUGUGAAACCUUCUGGCUUAACCAGAAGACGUCGUUGGAUACUGUUUGACUUGAGGCGAUGAGAGGAAUGCGGAAUCCCCGGUGUAAUGGUGGAAUAUGUAGAUAUCGGGGGGAACAUCUGAGGCGAAAGCGGCAUUCUGGCAUUAGCCUGACGCUCAUGUGCGAAAGCGUGGGGAGCAAACG